UUAAUUCUUAAUAUGUAUAAUACAUUUGACCUUGAAUAGGUCAUAGGUAACCACAUAUAUAGGAAGUCAACGAAUGCCAGCACAUAGGUAAUAAUAGGAUAUGAUAUAGGGUCAAUGUAUUUGUCUGCAAGUACUAUCACCAUGCCUAUCAAAUGGAUAACAUUGUAGGGUAUAUAGCAUAGGCAUGAAAGUUAUUGGAUCAAGUCUCAAUCUCUUCGCUUUGAGGUUGAGGUUGAGGUUAGUAUACGUCAAACAAAUAUCGACAAUGUCUUUGACGGUGUAGCCCAAUGAUAAGGGUUAGGAAACCGAAGGAGUUCUAUGUAGCAAGUUCAGAGUUCGAUCCCUGCGACAAACAUUUCUCCCUCCCCUUAACUAAUUAAUCACUAACAUUUGCCUAUAAAAAAAGAAUAUCAACAAUUAAUGUUAAAAGAAAUUGUAUUUGGUCAAUACUCAAUGACAAGUUCUGUUUUGAUGAGUGAUGAGUUCGUGCUACUUGUAGGCCAAUGUUUUGUCUCUUGUUCUAAGUGGAGAAUCAUCACCAUGAAUGAGGCCAAAACCAAUUGCAUUGAUUGUUCAAAUCAAUGCACUGGAAGGGAAAGGGGUUACUGUGAGUGUGAAGUGCCCUUAUCGGCAAUACCUUAGUUCAAGGAAGG
rnacentral:lncRNA from 1 species